rnacentral:rRNA from 1 species
GUGGGGAAUAUUGGGCAAUGGGGGAAACCCUGACCCAGCGACGCCGCGUGAGGGAAGAAGGCCUUAGGGUCGUAAACCUCUGUUGUGUGGGAAGAAGAGCGUGACGGUACCACACGAGGAAGUCCCGGCUAACUACGUGCCAGCAGCCGCGGUAAUACGUAGGGGACGAGCGUUGUCCGGAUUUACUGGGCGUAAAGGGCGCGUAGGCGGUCAUUUAAGUCAGAUGUGAAAUGGUUUGGCUUAACCGGAUCAUGCGGUUGAAACUGGAUGACUGGAGUGCUGGAGAGGCAAGUGGAAUUCCCAGUGUAGCGGUGAAAUGCGUAGAUAUUGGGAAGAACACCGGUGGCGAAGGCGACUUGCUGGCCAGCAACUGACGCUGAGGCGCGAAAGCCAGGGGAGCAAACGGGAUUAGAUACCCGGGUAGUCC